rnacentral:lncRNA from 1 species
UAUUAAAAAUGUCAAAUGCGGAAGCGUGAUAAAAAUUUUGACUAACAUCCCUUACACAAUAACCAAAACGUACUCAAAAUAUGAAAUUUCAAACUAACUAAGAGAGAAACUCGAAGAUAAAAACUAUAACUACGGAGUCUUUAGGCGUCCCCUUCGCCGUCUUCCUGCGGAACGGGCUCGGGAACAAUGUCUUCCUGAUCUGAAAUGGUUAAAUAAGGAAUGAGCUACACAGCCCAGUAAAGACAUCACACUAUCUCACCGCCACGGAGGUAAAGGUGGAUAGAAAAC